AAGUUACUUCGGUACAUCGGUGACAGGUGGUGCAUGGUUGUCGUCAGCUCGUGUCGUGAGAUGUUGGGUUAAGUCCCGCAACGAGCGCAACCCCUAUUGUUAGUUGCCAUCAUUCAGUUGGGCACUCUAGCGAGACUGCCGGUAAUAAACCGGAGGAAGGUGGGGAUGACGUCAAAUCAUCAUGCCCCUUAUGACCUGGGCUACACACGUACUACAAUGGCCGGUACAAAGGGCAGCGACACAGCGAUGUGAAGCGAAAUCCCGAAAAGCCGGUCUCAGUCCGGAUUGGAGUCUGCAACUCGACUCCAUGAAGUUGGAAUCGCUAGUAAUCGCGGAUCAGCACGCCGCGGUCGAAUACGUUCCCGGGCCUU
rnacentral:rRNA from 1 species